UUAACAAAUUCCUCGGCAAUAGAAAAAAAUUUCGCGCUCCUCCCCCCCUCCUCACAUCCCGCCUCACAAGUCCCGCCAGUGACAUGGAAAAAUAAAUUAAAAAACAGUACCACCGCAAACCCACUACGUUGCAUCUAACCCAUUAUUUCCUCUCCAUCUUCGUUGCAUAUCCUUCUCCUCCACAACCACCCCCCCCCCCCCCCCCCCUUUUUUUUUUUUUUUUUCUUCUGUCAAAAUCAGCUGCUCAUGUUGAAUCAAAUCAGCUGCUCAUCUUGAAAGGUUGAAGCAAACCCGUUUGCUUCUUCGAAUUUCACUUUGAAUUUCUGAAAUCCGAUUUUCUUUUUUGUUUUUUUUCCUACUUUGUUUUGCAGGUUGCCGAUCGAUCUGCUAGUUGCCGUGUCUGGCCCCGAUUGGGUUGUCGCCGUUCUGCAGCAUCGUUCACAAGUAAACAAAAAAAAAAUCAUGCAAAUGUGCCGUAUAACCACUAUGGAGGAUCGAUACCCUUUGUAUAUUAUCUUCAAGAAAAAUCAAAGAAUCUUCCUGAAGGACAAACACAAGGACGGGUGGAUUUUUUUCAUGAUAUACAUUAUCAUGAUAAAAAAGGUUGGAUCAAUGAGACAGCUCAACAAAGAUAUGACAUGCAUCAAAGAUGAACAUAACUAUUUGAGGAAGGAUCGGAGACAAUAAAUGAGGAUGCAAUUGCUGAUGAAGUUUUGAGAACUAGAGCAGGAUAUACACUUGGCAUGGGAUACGGUCCAAAACCAACAUCAUAUUCUCGUAAAAGACAACCGUCACCGGACACAAUUGCUUUGCGUGAGGCUGUCAAGUUAGAAAGAUGAGUAUUAAGAAAGGAUGUUAAAGUAUGAAGAAGAAAUGAGCAAAAUGAGAGAAUUUAUACAGCAAUAUAUGGACCAAAGAUCUUGCGCUGGUGAUGGUACAUCGUUUGCCAGGUUUCGUUUUCCUCCUCCACCUCCAUCGGCUGCUUGUUGACAUGUUUUAUUGUAGUACAUUGUUAUGUCCAUAUAUGUUUUGUUUAUGUUCAUAUAUGCUAGUGCAUUGUAGCAGGUUUAUAAACUUUAGCAACAUAUAUAUGUUCAAAUCAUAAAUAGAGCUAUCUCUUUUGUUUAAUUAUUUUAAUACAAUAUGAAUAUUUUUAGUAAUA